rnacentral:rRNA from 1 species
GACGAACGCUGGCGGCGUGCUUAACACAUGCAAGUCGAACGGAAAGGCCCUGCUUUUGUUGGGUGCUCGAGUGGCGAACGGGUGAGUAACACGUGAGUAACCUGCCCUUGACUUUGGGAUAACUUCAGGAAACUGGGGCUAAUACCGGAUAGGAGCUCCUGCUGCAUGGUGGGGGUUGGAAAGUUUCGGCGGUUGGGGAUGGACUCGCGGCUUAUCAGCUUGUUGGUGGGGUAGUGGCUUACCAAGGCUUUGACGGGUAGCCGGCCUGAGAGGGUGACCGGCCACAUUGGGACUGAGAUACGGCCCAGACUGCUACGGGAGGCAGCAGUGGGGAAUAUUGCACAAUGGGCGGAAGCCUGAUGCAGCAACGCCGCGUGCGGGAUGACGGCCUUCGGGUUGUAAACCGCUUUCGCCUGUGACGAAGCGUGAGUGACGGUAAUGGGUAAAGAAGCACCGGCUAACUACGUG